AGAGUUUGAUCAUGGCUCAGAACGUACGCUGGCGGCACGCCUAAUACAUGCAAGUCGAACGAAGUAGCAAUACUUAGUGGCAGACGGGUGAGUAACAUGUAGGUAUCUUCCCUUUGGUGAGGAAUAACACGAGGAAACUUGUGCUAAUACCUCAUAAGUCUUUACGGAGAAAGCUUUAUGCGCCAAUGGAUGAGCCUGCACUUGAUUAGUUAGUUGGUAGGGUAAUGGCUUACCAAGACAUUGAUCAAUAGCUGAUUUGAGAGGAUGAUCAGCCACAUUGGGACUGAGACACGGCCCAAACUCCUACGGGAGGCAGCAGUAGGGAAUCUUGCACAAUGGGGGAAACCCUGAUGCAGCGAUGCCGCGUGAGUGAAGAAGGCCUUUGGGUUGUAAAGCUCUUUCGUCGGGGAAGAAAAUGACUGUACCCGAAUAAGAAGGUCCGGCUAACUUCGUGCCAGCAGCCGCGGUAAUACGAAGGGACCUAGCGUAGUUCGGAAUUACUGGGCUUAAAGAGUUCGUAGGUGGUUAAAAAAGUUGGUGGUGAAAUCCCAGAGCUUAACUCUGGAACUGCCAUCAAAACUUUUUAGCUAGAGUAUGAUAGAGGAAAGCAGAAUUUCUAGUGUAGAGGUGAAAUUCGUAGAUAUUAGAAAGAAUACCAAUUGCGAAGGCAGCUUUCUGGAUCAUUACUGACGCUGAGGAACGAAAGCAUGGGUAGCGAAGAGGAUUAGAUACCCUCGUAGUCCAUGCCGUAAACGAUGUGUGUUAGACGUUGGAAAUUUAUUUUCAGUGUCGCAGCGAAAGCAUUAAACACACCGCCUGGGGAGUACGACCGCAAGGGUUAAAACUCAAAUGAAUUGACGGGGACCCGCACAAGUAGUGGAGCAUGUGGU
rnacentral:rRNA from 1 species